GACGAACGCGGCGGCGUGCUUAACACAUGCAAGUCGAACGAAGAGCGAUGGAAGCUUGCUUCUAUCAAUCUUAGUGGCGAACGGGUGAGUAACGCGUAAUCAACCUGCCCUUCAGAGGGGGACAACAGUUGGAAACGACUGCUAAUACCGCAUACGAUCUAACCUCGGCAUCGAGGAAAGAUGAAAGGUGGCCUCUAUUUAUAAGCUAUCACUGAAGGAGGGGAUUGCGUCUGAUUAGCUAGUUGGAGGGGUAACGGCCCACCAAGGCGAUGAUCAGUAGCCGGUCUGAGAGGAUGAACGGCCACAUUGGGACUGAGACACGGCCCAGACUCCUACGGGAGGCAGCAGUGGGGAAUCUUCCGCAAUGGACGAAAGUCUGACGGAGCAACGCCGCGUGAGUGAUGACGGCCUUCGGGUUGUAAAGCUCUGUUAAUCGGGACGAAAGGCC
rnacentral:rRNA from 1 species